UACGUAGGGGGCAAGCGUUGUCCGGAUUUAUUGGGCGUAAAGAGCGUGUAGGCGGUUUGGUAGGUCCGUUGUGAAAACUCGAGGCUCAACCUCGAGACGCCGAUGGAAACCAUCAGACUAGAGUCCGGAAGAGGAGAGUGGAAUUCCUGGUGUAGCGGUGAAAUGCGUAGAUAUCAGGAGGAACACCUGUGGCGAAAGCGGCUCACUGGACCAUAACUGACGCUGAUGCACGAAAGCUAGGGGAGCAAACAGG
rnacentral:rRNA from 1 species